rnacentral:lncRNA from 1 species
GGCGAUUUCAUUAACGGAAGUAUCUGGAAUAAGUAAUGCUCUGUUUCCUGACCGUUUUUGAUUGGUUGAAUAACAUUUUCUCAAUUAUGCAUUCGUCUUUUUCCUCCAACUUUCGUGCCGGGAACUAUAAUUUAACGUAUAUGAGAAUAAAUGAUAUGAUAACAAAAACGAUUUUACAAUAUAAAGAAAAGAAUUAAUUUAAAGAAUGUCAUUAUAGCAUUAUAAUAGUAUCAAAAUAUAAUAAUAAUAUUAAUGAUGUCAAUAUAUAAUGUGCGUAAAAAAUUUCUUUCCUUUACAAAAAGGGGGAGGUCUGUCCCCUACCAAAGGGAGGUCGACUUUGGGCGGCACUUUGUCCUCUUCCCAAGGGAGGACGUACAAUGUGUCCUCUACGAAUGCCAAUUGAAGGUUGUGCUCUCCCUAAUCUCGUGGGCCGUUGUUGCGUCCGACGAUUCUCUCGUUCCUCCAACAGCAUUGCUCUGAGGGCAUUUCGGACGCCAGUGUGGAGGCUGCCGAUCGUGUGGUCGAUUUAAUGGUGUUAGCCGCAAUACAGGAGUUGACCUACUGCGGUUAAGCGG